ACGCUAGCUACAGGCUUAACACAUGCAAGUCGAUGGGCAGCAUUUUAGUUUGCUUGCAAACUGAAGAUGGCGACCGGCGCACGGGUGAGUAACACGUAUCCAACCUACCGAUAACUCCGGAAUAGCCUUUCGAAAGAAAGAUUAAUACCGGAUAGCAUACGAAUAUCGCAUGAUAUUUUUAUUAAAGAAUUUCGGUUAUCGAUGGGGAUGCGUUCCAUUAGUUUGUUGGCGGGGUAACGGCCCACCAAGACUACGAUGGAUAGGGGUUCUGAGAGGAAGGUCCCCCACAUUGGAACUGAGACACGGUCCAAACUCCUACGGGAGGCAGCAGUGAGGAAUAUUGGUCAAUGGGCGAGAGCCUGAACCAGCCAAGUAGCGUGAAGGAUGAAGGCUCUAUGGGUCGUAAACUUCUUUUAUAUGGGAAUAAAGUUUUCCACGUGUGGAAUUUUGUAUGUACCAUAUGAAUAAGGAUCGGCUAACUCCGUGCCAGCAGCCGCGGUAAUACGGAGGAUCCGAGCGUUAUCCGGAUUUAUUGGGUUUAAAGGGAGCGUAGGUGGAUUGUUAAGUCAGUUGUGAAAGUUUGCGGCUCAACCGUAAAAUUGCAGUUGAAACUGGCAGUCUUGAGUACAGUAGAGGUGGGCGGAAUUCGUGGUGUAGCGGUGAAAUGCUUAGAUAUCACGAAGAACUCCGAUUGCGAAGGCAGCUCACUAGACUGUCACUGACACUGAUGCUCGAAAAGUGUGGGUAUCAAACAGGAUUAGAUACCCUGGUAGUCCACACAGUAAACGAUGAAUACUCGCUGUUUGCGAUAUACAGUAAGCGGCCAAGUGAAAGCAUUAAGUAUUCCACCUGGGGAGUACGCCGGCAACGGUGAAACUCAAAGGAAUUGACGGGGGCCCGCACAAGCGGAGGAACAUGUGGUUUAAUUCGAUGAUACGCGAGGAACCUUACCCGGGCUUAAAUUGCAACAGAAUAUAUUGGAAACAGUAUACCCGUAAGGCUGUUGUGAAGGUGCUGCAUGGUUGUCGUCAGCUCGUGCCGUGAGGUGUCGGCUUAAGUGCCAUAACGAGCGCAACCCUUAUCUUUAGUUACUAACAGGUUAUGAUGAGGACUCUAGAGAGACUGCCGUCGUAAGAUGUGAGGAAGGUGGGGAUGACGUCAAAUCAGCACGGCCCUUACGUCCGGGGCUACACACGUGUUACAAUGGGGGGUACAGAAGGCGGGUACCUGGUGACAGGAUGCUAAUCCCAAAAACCUCUCCCAGUUCGGAUCGAAGUCUGCAACCCGACUUCGUGAAGCUGGAUUCGCUAGUAAUCGCGCAUCAGCCAUGGCGCGGUGAAUACGUUCCCGGGCCUUGUACACACCGCCCGUCAAGCCAUGAAAGCCGGGGGUACGUGAAGUACGUAACCGCAAGGAGCGUCCUAGGGUAAAACUGA
rnacentral:rRNA from 1 species